AUCCAGCUGACGAGUCUCAAAUAGGACGAAAUGCGCGACAAACUGGAU
rnacentral:hammerhead_ribozyme from 1 species